rnacentral:lncRNA from 1 species
CCAAGAACAUCCCAAAGGGCCUCCUCACCCUCAUGGACAGCAGGAAUGUCUUCCAUGGCUCCUGCUUGGGAAUGGCAGUGGCUGUUGGGAGCUCUGGAGACCAGAGCACCUUAACAUCCACCUUGAAGAGCAUCAGGAGGGAAGCAGGGAGACUGCAGAGAUGUAGGGGUGGAUCAUCCUGGAGAACCAUGAGUAGGGACAAUGCAUGCCAAGCCAGCCAUCUCCUGUUGUUUUUUCUUGCAAAGAAGAAACAGCUUCAGCCUUCAUCUCAGCUCCUGCCUGGAGGCUCCUGGGCUCCGGUUCCUUACUGUACUCCGGGCUCAGCACCAAAUCCAGGUGAUCUGCUGCAGGUGUGGCGUGAGGACACCCUGUUGGAACACUCGCUCUGGGUACCUCUCUCUGACCACAAAGGGCUCCUGGGUGAGGUCUGGCAGCUUUCCUGUAAGGAACACUUAUGGAUCUUACUAUUGCUGAUUUAA